ensembl:ncRNA Y40H7A.309 ncRNA
AGAAAAAGAGUUGCCUGCUGCUGGAAUCGAACCAGCGUCGCCACGGCCACAACGUGGAGUACUAACCACUAUACUAAGCAGGCCGAGAGAG